rnacentral:rRNA from 1 species
CAGCAGCCGCGGUAAUGCGGAGGGAGCUAGCGUUGUUCGGAAUUAUCGGGCGUAAGGGCUCGCAGGCGGUUUCUUAAGUCUGAUGUGAAAGCCCCCGGCUCAACCGGGGAGGGUCAUUGGAAACUGGGAAACUUGAGUGCAGAAGAGGAGAGUGGAAUUCCACGUGUAGCGGUGAAAUGCGUAGAGAUGUGGAGGAACACCAGUGGCGAAGGCGACUCUCUGGUCUGUAACUGACGCUGAGGAGCGAAAGCGUGGGGAGCGAACAGGAUUAGAGACCCGCGUAGUCCCUGUCUCUUAUACA